AUACUGAAGGUUGUUUUUACAUUUUAUCUUUAUACUUCAGGAGGCCUCAGUCUCUAUCUAGAAUGAGCAACUUGAUGAGGUAACUUGUGAAGAUGAAAGUGGUCAGUGCUGCCUAUGAUGAGCACCGAACUGGAAGAACCCUGUGGUGAAACAUAUGUCAGAAGAGAAGAAGGUAUGAGAAGCUGGCCUCCUCUGCAGAUGAGAAGAUUAAUUAAGAGGAAAAUCGCUUAGCCAGAUGUCUCAUUGGUGAAACUACACGUGCAAGGUUUAUUUGAACUUGCAAAAAAGACCGAAGGGAAAAUAGAAAUUGCUGGCAAGAAUUGCAGAGAUCUUGUUCACUGUACCAUUUCUGCUGGAUCAGCCUGCCUCAUUCACAGCUUGGAAGACAUCGUCAGUGUCAACAUCCAUACAGACCAAAUAUUCUUACAGCAAUCAUUGGAUCAAACCCUGAACCGCAGGCAGCUCCCAGCAAUCCUGCCUGUACUUUCUGCCUUCAUUACUGAUACCAUGGUAUGAUAAAUAAUUCUGCUAUUGGCAGUUUGUUUACUAAAACUACUGCCUUUGAAUUAAAACAGGAAAAAUUAUAUACCCAAGUCUUAUAAUAGAUAUGGAGCCACAUCCUGCUACUGCAGCACUGAAAACCCAGAGUUUUUCCAUUGACUUUUCUCAGUUUAUCGAAUCAGAAUCCAUUCCCU